rnacentral:rRNA from 1 species
UACGGAGGAUGCAAGCGUUAUCCGGAAUUAUUGGGCGUAAAGCGUCCGUAGGUGGCUAAUCAAGUCUGCUGUCAAAGCGUGGAGCUUAACUCCAUACCGGCGGUGGAAACUGAUGAGCUAGAGUGCGAUAGGGGUAGCAGGAAUUCCCAGUGUAGCGGUGAAAUGCGUAGAGAUCGGGCGGAACACCAGCGGCGAAGGCGGCAUCCUGGUCCUGUUCUGACGCUGAGGCGCGAGAGCGUGGGGAGCGAACUGG